rnacentral:rRNA from 1 species
AGUGAACGCUGGCGGUAGGCCUAACACAUGCAAGUCGAACGGCAGCACAGUAAGAGCUUGCUCUUACGGGUGGCGAGUGGCGGACGGGUGAGGAAUACAUCGGAAUCUACUUUUUCGUGGGGGAUAACGUAGGGAAACUUACGCUAAUACCGCAUACGCCCUACGGGUGAAAGCAGGGGAUCUUCGGACCUUGCGCGAUUGAAUGAGCCGAUGUCGGAUUAGCUAGUUGGCGGGGUAAAGGCCCACCAAGGCGACGAUCCGUAGCUGGUCUGAGAGGAUGGUCAGCCACACUGGAACUGAGACACGGUCCAGACGCCUACGGGAGGCAGCAGUGGGGAAUAUUGGACAAUGGGCGCAAGCCUGAUCCAGCCAUACCGCGUGGGUGAAGAAGGCCUUCGGGUUGUAAAGCCCUUUUGUUGGGAAAGAAAAGCAGCAGGUUAAUACCCCGCUGUUCUGACGGUACCCAAAGAAUAAGCACCGGCUAACUUCGUG